UGAUCCCAUCCCGAACUCAGCAGUGAAACGAUGCAUCGCCGAUGGUAGUGUGGGGUUUCCCCAUGUGAGAGUAGGUCAUCGUCAAGA
rnacentral:rRNA from 6 species